UACGUAGGGGGCAAGCGUUGUCCGGAUUUAUUGGGCGUAAAGAGCGUGUAGGCGGCCAUACAGGGUCCGUUGUGAAAACUGGAGGCUUAACCUCCAGACGUCGAUGGAAACCGUAUGGCUAGAGUCCGGAAGAGGAGAGUGGAAUUCCUGGUGUAGCGGUGAAAUGCGCAGAUAUCAGGAAGAACACCCGUGGCGAAGGCGGCUCUCUGGGACGGUACUGACGCUGAGACGCGAAAGCGUGGGGAGCGAACAGG
rnacentral:rRNA from 1 species